UACCCUGAGGAAAGGAAAGAAAACUCGACACCCCCAGUAGCGGCGAGCGAAAAGGGUUGAGACUAAACCGUGCCGGUGCAAUAGCCAGGUGGCGUUGCCGGUACGGGGUCGUGGGAUAGCGAGCUGACGCACCUGAGUCAGCACGGAGUUACCAAAUUGCUGUGUAGAAGAACGGUUCUGGAAAGGCCGGCCGUAGUGGGUAAAAGCCCCGUAUUCGAAACGCACGCAAUCUCCGCGCUCGAUCCCAAGUAACGCCGAAACCGAGCAAGUCGGCGUGAAUCCGCGGGGACCACCCCGUAAGUCUAAGUAUUCCUUGGCGACCGAUAGUGAACCAGUACCGUGAGGGAAAGGUGAAAAGUACCCCGGGAGGGGAGUGAAAUAGUACCUGAAACCGUUGGUUUACAAACAGUCAGAGUGUCGUCGCGUAAGCGGCCACGAUGGCGUGCCUUUUGAAGAAUGAGCCUGCGAGUUAUGGUACGUGGCAAGGUUAAGUCGAGAGACGGAGCCGGAGCGAAAGCGAGUCUGAACAGGGCGUUCAGUCGCGUGCUAUAGACCCGAAGCGAAGUGAUCUAUCCAUGGGCAGGUUGAAGCGGGGGUAAGACCCCGUGGAGGACCGAACACACGUCAGUUGAAAAUGGCGGUGAUGAACUGUGGAUAGGGGUGAAAGGCCAAUCAAACUUCGCGAUAGCUGGUUCUCCUCGAAAUGCAUUUAGGUGCAGCGUUGCAUGUUCAGUUCCGGAGGUAGAGCACUGGAUGGGCUAGGGGGCCUACAAGCUUACCGAACCCAGCCAAACUCCGAAUUACGGUACUCCAGAGCAUGGCAGUGAGACCACGGGGGAUGAGCUUCGUUGGUCGAAAGGGAAACAGCCCAGAUCAUCAUCUAAGGCCCCUAAUUCAGGACUAAGUGGAAAACGAUGUGAAACCGCAUAGACAGCCAGGAGGUUGGCUUAGAAGCAGCCACCCUUAAAAGAGUGCGUAACAGCUCACUGGUCGAGUGGUUUUGCGCGGACAAUAUAACGGGGCUCAAGUCCUGAGCCGAAGAUAUGGAUUGCAUCGACGUUCGCGUCGUUGCAGUGGUAGAGGAGCGUUGAUGCAGCAGUGAAGCGGCGGGAGAACCCGACGUGGAGCGGCAUCAAGUGAGAAUGUAGGCAUGAGUAGCGAGAGAGGGGUGAGAAACCCCUCCGCCGAAAGCCCAAGGUUUCCUGGGGAAGGCUAAUCCUCCCAGGGUAAGUCGGGAGCUAAGGAGAGGCCGCGAGGCG
rnacentral:rRNA from 1 species